rnacentral:lncRNA from 1 species
UCAGCUAAUAAAUUAUGUCUUACUGCCAAGCCAAACGUUGCUUGAAGCAAAAUCACAACAAACAAAAUUGCCUCUUUCAACAUCAAGACGAAGGUCCUUGUUGCGUGAUAAGUUUGCCAUAAGAAAAGCUAAUUGCUUUGGUUGAUCCCACUUUAAGAAGGAGGUGCUUGCAUUUAAGAAUGCAUUGAGAUAAAGGUGUCAAUGACCUGAGGGUAGCGAUCAAGGCCAAUCUUUAUGGAACUGUUAUUUGAAGAAGACAUAAAGUUUAUAUCUUCAUAUUCUCAUGCAAAGGCUAAUCAUGGAACUGUGAUUUGUAAAUAUGAAACCCUAAAGUCUAGCAGGGGCAGUGAAUUAUUGAUUUUCCAUUUAUAAAUGUGCUAACUCCUCAAAACUCAAUAAUUUAGCAACUGGUUCUGUUCCAGUCUUCCAGAUAGGGAAUACCGCAAACACGUAACAGUCACAAUUCAUUCAAUCAUCUAUACCUAGAAUCAGAACAGUCUUACUUGAGGUGGACAAAAGAAGCGACAAAGUGCAUGGUGCCUAGAGUACUGAUGUAGAUGGCGACGCAGCGGAUCGCACCCCUCGAGCUCGAGCCUAUCACGGCGAUUACUAUUGCUAGUGCCAGAAUUAUUAUUAUGGUGGUGGUGGUGGUCUGAAUGCCGAUGCUUGCGAUUGCUCCGAUGAAGAUGGGAAUACGAAUCAGAUCCCAGUCCAAGGUCCAGUGGACUCGAAUUCCGGCUGAAACGAGACCGCCGGCUAUGAAAUAGCUCCGAAGCGCUCGUAAUACACAAAAUGAAAAAUUCAUUAACUGAAAAAAACAGACCCUCUGAUAGUUUUGAAUUUAUUUAAUACGAAGAUUAACGUUUGUCAAUUUCAGGAGAGUACGGUAGAGGCUGGUUUACGAGAAAUUGCAUUUAAGGGAGUAAUGUAGAGAAGGGAAAGUAGUGGAUAAUUUGACUUUUUUGGGUUAUGUUGUUAUAUUUAAUCGGUAGUCUAUGGAGUGGAAUCGAACUCUCAUAUAUCGUAUUUGUGUUUUAGACAUCGAAUUCACACUUAUCGUAUUUGACAAUUGCUUACCGUAUUUGGCAGCUGCUUAUCGUAUUUGACAACUGCUCACCGUAUACGGCAGUGACCAUAUUUGGUAGAGAAUUAAACACAGAAUUUUCACAACUAUUUGUUUUCAUACAAUGACUUUAGAUAACAUAGAAUUUGGUGUUUGUUUUUCAUAUAAUUUGCACAAACACAAUUUCGAAAAAAAUUCAGAUAAUUUUUUUCUUAAUUUUAUUUUUCACAAAUUACAUAGAUACAGACUAUUAUCUAAAUGACUACUUGAAUAAGAAUGACAAAUUAUAUUAUUUGCAGAAAUAUAAAAGCAGUAUAAAUUUCAGAAAACUAAAUAAAAUUUGAAAGCGUGUAAAUCUGCAAAUAAUUAAAGCGCAGAUACUCAAACUAAAAGCAUAUAUAGUUGGAAAUAAACUUUUAACUCCGAGGCCUGUGUAAAUACAGUUUCCUUAAAACAAAUUCGUCCCCUCACCAUAAUGCUAGAGGUUUAGUUCGAGCGUCUGUCUACCAAAAAUACAACGGUAAUGAGUAGAAUUCGAGCAUCGCGGUUCUACUCCGACAAACUGGGCGAGUGUUCGAACAAUAUCAGCUUACUGGAAGGGACACAUGAGGAGACGGAAUAAAACAGAGAACAGAACUAAAUCUGAGUAUAAACUGCUAGAAAUUGCAGACGAAAAUUUCAAUGUGUGAACUGCUGGAAAUUGAGUGAAAUUAUAUAGACUAAAUUUGAUCACUAGUUUCUGUGUUAACCAUUGCAGUUUUUGGAGUUACACUUCGGUUUCGACCAUUGGAGUUUUAGGAGUUUCAGACACUCAAAAGUCAUUUGGAAAAAUCACAAAAAAUGGUAAAACGCGGACAAUCCAAACUGACCAGUUUUUACUCCGUUCGGUCCGAUAUUCGUGUGCGCAGGUCGCGUCCGCACCCAAGUUCAAGAUUCGAAGGCUAUUUCUGUCCGUGAUUUGCACACCCUGCGUUCGCACGUGGAGAGAGCCUCUAUGCUACGCAUGAUCACACCAUUCCAAUGCAUAACCAUAUAUAAAGUGGUUUUGAUUUCCAUGUUUUUCCUAUGUGGGACAAAGUUAACUAUAGUUUUCCCACCAACAUAGUCCAUUUCCAAUGGUUCACUUUAAACUCCAAUUUUUCAUUCACUCGAGCUUCAUUUUUGACAAAUAAAUACAUGACUUCGAUGUUCUCACGGAGGAGAACACAUAUCAACUUUGAUAUUCCAAAUUGGAUCAACGGGUCCCACCAAAAAUUGUGCCAAAAGUGAGCUGCUCACUCAUUUUUUUCAACAAUCCCCCACAUGAAUGAAAAUUAGGAGAGACACGAAACGUGAGACAUAAGACUUGGUGAUAAAGUUCAACGAUUGAAGCUUGCAUAGGAUAGGCAGGUAUUACCCUUUGAACCUUCCCUUAUAAAAGCAUAUUUACUUUACUGACUGACCAGUAGGCGCGAUGUCUUUGAACUGUUUUUCCGUUUGUGUAAACGAUGAUAUACUUCACAGGAUUCUUCCUAACACCCUUCAGUUCUCAUUAUUAUAUUCGUUUUGGCCAUGAACGUAUGCCUGGUUCUGUGAGAGUUUCUAAGAAUUGAGCCCCACACAAUUCUCUUAGAAACGGUCCCACUUCUUUCUCACAUAGGUGAUUUCUUAUUACAAGUAACCGCAUUACUUAGCUCGAUUUUCGACAUGUAAGAAUCAUUGAAAGCCUAUUGCUUAACCUUCAUCCUUACGGACAUCACUGUUAUAUCAUAGGAAUGGAUAGGAGGCGAUACUCCUACAGUGAUUUUAUCAAAUCUUUACAGUUAGGUUGUCCCUUUGAACCUAGAUCUUGGGAUCUCCAGUCAACUAGGUUAGAUUUUCUUUGUAAUGACUUAUUCUUUCAAGGGGCUUGAGUCUCAUUUCUUUCGAUGAUUUUCCAACUAACUCUCUAUUUAACCCUUUGGUUAGCGGAUCCGCAAUGUUAUCCUUUGACCUAACAUAGUCAAUUGUGAUAACUCCAGUUGAGAGUAGUUGUCUAAUGAUAUUGUGUCUACGACGUAUAUGUCUAAACUUACCAUUAUACAUGUUACUCUAUGCCCUUCCUAUUGCUGAUUGACUGUCACAAUAUAUGCAAAUUGCAGGCACAUAUUUGGACCAUCUUGGAAUAUCCUCUAAGAAGUUGUGCAACCAUUCGACCUUUUCACCACAUUUAUCUAGGGCUAUAAACUCAGAUUCUAUCGUAGAUCUGACUAUAACCGUUUGCUUAGAGGAAUUCCACGAGAUGGCAGCACUUCCCAAAAUGAACACAUAUCCACUCGUGGACUUUGAGUCUUUUAUAUUAGAUAUCCAAUUAGCAUCACUGUAUCCUUCAAUGACCGCUGGAUGUCUGGUGUAGUGUAUUUCAUAGUCAUGAGUAUAUCUUAAGUACCUCAUUACUCUUACUAUACCUAUCCAGUGAUCAUUUCCUGGAUUACUCGUAUAUCUACUCAAUUUACUGACUGUAUAGGCUAUGUCUGAUCUUGUACAACUCAUUAAGUACAUCAGACUUCUAAUAACCCUCGAGUAUUCUACUUAAAAGACACAUUCACCCUUAUUUUUGGAUAGAUGUUGACUUGUAUCUAUUGGUGUUCUGGCCAAACCAGUAUCAUCCUUACUGAACUUUUCCAAAAUUUUGUCCACAUAAUGUGACUGGCAUAGAACAAGCCCAUCUGAUGUUCUUGAGAUUUUGACUCCAAGUAUAACAUUAGCUAAACUCAUGUCUUUCAUAUCAAAUCUCGAAUUUAAUAUAUUUUUAGUGAAUUCAAUCAUCGUAUUGUUACUACCAACAAUAAGCAUGUCAUCAACGUAAAGAUAUAAAAUGACAUAGUCAUUUUUUAUUUUUUUGACGUAAACACAUUUGUCACAUUCAUUAAUUUUAAAUCCACUCUCUAUCAUGACAUUGUCAAAUUUUUCAUGCCAUUGUUUGGAUGCUUGUUUCAAAUCAUAUAGUGAUUUCACCAGUUUAUAGACUUUCUUUUCCUAUCCUAGUGACGAAAACCCCUCAGGUUGUUCCAUGAAAAUUUCUUCUUCUAAAUCUCCAUUUAGAAAAGCAGUGUUAACAUUCAUUUGAUGUACUUCUAGAUUUCGCAAAGCAACAAUCGCAAGUAUCACCCUAAUAGAUGUUAUUCUCGUCACUGGAAAAUACGUAUCAAAGUAAUCAAGACCUUCCCUUUGUUUGUAAUCUUUUAUUACUAAUCUGGCCUUGUACUUUUGAUAGUUCCAUCUGCUUUCAUUUUCCUUUUGAAAAUCCAUUUGUAGCCUAGUGGUUUGCAUCCAGAAGGAAGAUCCACUACCUUCCAUGUAUGAUUUUGUAGUAUGAAAUCUAUUUCACCUUUAAUGGCAUCUUUCCAUUGAGGUCCUUCCGAGGAGUUCACAGUUUCUUGAUAACUUUGAGGUUCGCCUUCUAGCAUAUAGGUCAGAAAAUCAGGACCAUAAGACUUUUCUGUCCUUUCCCAUUUGCUGCGUCUAACCUCUGUAUCCUCUUCUAAUUCUUCGUCCUGACUAUUUUCAGUCAUUGUCUCAUAUAUUCGUUUAGAGGGGCUGGCUUUCUCUUUGGACCUGUAUGGAAAUAUUUCUCAAAGAAUGAAGCAUUCCUCGAUUUCAUUAUCGUGUUUUUGUGUAUGUCUGGGAUUUUUGAAUCAUACACAAGAAAUCGAUAAGCACUACUAUUACGUGCAUAGCCAAUGAAGAAGCAAUCUAUAGUUUUCGGGUCUAUCCUUACCUUCUUUAGUGUAGGAACAGCUACUUUUGCAAGAUACCCCCACACUCGCAAGUGUUUAUAGGUAGACUUUCUUCCUUUCCAUAAUUCAUAAGGGGUCUUUUCCGAUUUCUUUCGGGGCACUUUAUUUAAAAGGUAAUUUGCUGAUAACACAACUUCCUCCCACAUGUUCUGAGAUAAUCCAGAACUUACUAGUAUUGCAUUCAUCAUUUCUUUUAAGGUACAAUUUUUUCAUUCAACUACACCGUUUUAUUGCGUUGAAUAAGGUGCAGUGGUUUUAUAUAUGAUUAUGUGUUGUGCACAGAAAUCGGAAAACGAUGCUCUAUACUCAUCACCUCGAUCACUCCGCAGUACCUUAAUUUUCUUAUUAAGUUGAGUUUUAACUUCAUUCUUAUAGAGAACAAAUUUCUCUAUAACUUCAUCCUUACUUUUAAGCAGAUGCACAUAGUAGUAUUUUGUGCCAUCGUCGACAAAAGUAAUAAAAUACUUGUUGUCACCUCUUGUUUGUGCAAGUUAUAAGUCACAAACAUCAAUGUGAAUUAAAUCAAGUGGUUCUGUGUUCCGUUCAACUGACUUAAAGGAUGACCUUGUCAAUUUUAUCUCAACAUAAGUUUCACACUUAUGUUCGGAAUCAUUAUGGAACUUGAGUAUGCAAUUCGAGUUAACUAGUCUACAUAAAGUAUCAUAGUUAAUAUGUCAUAGUCUACCAUGCCACAAAUUGGAAGACUCAAGUAAAUAAGUAGAAGAACUUGCUUUAUUCAUUUUUGGUUUCACAACCAUUACAUUCAGCUUAAACAUACUGUCGAAAAUAUAACCUUUUUCCGAUAAACAUUCCACUUUUUGAUAGAAUGACUUUGUCUUAUUCAAUUACAAUGCGAAAACCAUACUUAUUCAAAAGCAACCCGGACACUAAAUUCUUAUGAAUUUUCGGCACAUAUAGCAUAUUGUUGAGAGUCAGCUCCUUUCCCGAGAUUAUCUUUAGAACCACCUUUCCUUGAUUUCAGAGGUUGAUGAAUUUCCCAUGAACAGCUUCUCCCCGUUUUCAAUUGCUUCGAACGUAGCAAACAGCUCUUUAUCAGAGCACACAUGCCUUGUAGCACCGGUGUUAAUCCACUUCUCCUUAGGGUUUGAACUCAUCAUAUUCACUUCAGAAAUAAUGGCUGCGAGAUUCAUUUCUGAGAUAUCUUGUGCCAUGUUGUCAAUCAUAUUUGCUUCUUUCGUCUUCUUUUUUGGCAUUCUACACUCCGAAGACUUGUGACCUACUUUAUCACAAUUGAAACAUUUCCCUUGAAAUUUCUUCUUAGAAAUUCCACCUUUCGAUCCAUGCUUGGUCUUUUUUCCACCGGAUGGCUCAAACUUGUUUUUGUAAGUCUUACUACUUUGACCAUGCUCCACAACAUUGGUUUUAGUUACACCAGGAUUGAAUCACUUCUUUUAUGAACUUUUGUUGUCUUCUUCAAUUCGAAGUCUAACAAUAAGUUCUUCUACGUUCAUUUCCUUUCGUUUGUGUUUCAAAUAGAUUUUGAAAUCUUUCCAUGCGGGGAACAAUUUUUCAAUAAUUGCUGCCACUUGAAAGGUUUCACUUAAUACCAUCCCUUCGACAUGAAUUUUGUGAAAAAUCACUUGAAAUUCUUGGACUUGACUGAUAAGAGUUUUGGAGUCCACCAUCUUAUAGUCUAGGAAUCUGCCGACUAUAAACUUUUUCGCCCUAGCAUCCUCAAUUUUGUAUUUUCGGUCCAAAGACUCCCACAACUUCUUAGCAGUUUUCAUCGUACUGCACACAUUGUAUAGCUUGUCUGCUAAAGUAUUCAUAAUAUAGUUUCGGCAUAAAAAGUCUGAAUGCUUCCAAGCAUCAAGUGCACUGACUGCUUGAAUAUCUCAUUCUCCUUCAUUGAGUAUAGGAGCAGUCUCAGUCAAGAAUCUCGCAAGAUUCAAGGUGGUUAGGCAAAACAACAUUUUCUGCUGCCACUUCUAGAAAUUCAAGCCGUUGAAUUUCUCCGAUUUCUCUCUAUGAUUAACCAGAACAAUAACCGUUUGGCCAGUUGUUGGAGCCAUAGUCUGACUCACAAACGACUAGGCAAGUUAGCCACAGUAGAGCUUGGCCAUUGAGCCAUAGUAGAGCCCACAACUUGAUUUCUAGCAGGAACAGUUUGGGUCACAUCCAUGUUGGUUGGUUCGGCAGCCAUUUCUGAAAAUAAAACAAUUAUUAGUUUCCAAUAAACAAAUAAACUUGUUUACUACCAAUACGUAUUAAGAGUUUGUCUUAAGUUUGUUGUUAUAUUUAAUCGGUAGUGUAUGGAGUGGAAUCAGGCUCUCAUAUGCCGUAUUUGUGUUUUAGACACCGGUUUCACACUUACCGUAUUUGGCAAUUGCUUCCGUAUUUGACAGCUGCUUACCAUAUUUGACAACUGCUCACCAUAUAUGGCAGUGACCGUAUUUGGCAGUGAAUUAAACACAGAAUUUUCACGACUAUUUGUUUUCAUACAAUGACUUUAUAUAACAAAGAAAUUGGUGUUUGUUUUCAUAUAAUUUGCACAAACACAAUUUUGAAAAAAAUUCAGAUAAAUUUUUUCUUAAUUUUAUUUUUCACAAAUUACUUAGAUACAGACUAUUAUCUAAAUCACUACUUGAAUAAGAAUGACAAAUUAUAUUAUUUGUAGAAAUAUAAAAGCAAUAUAAAUUUCAGAAAGCUAAAUAAAAUCUGAAAGCAUUUAAAUCUGCAAAUAAUUAAAGCACAGAUACUCAAACUGGAAGCAUAUAUAUUUGGAAAUAAACUUUUAACCCAAAGGCCUGUGUAAACACAGUUUUCUUAAGACAAAUUCGCCCCCUCACCAUAGUGCUAGAGGUUUAGUUCAAGUGCACGUCUCCCAGGAUACAACGGUAACGAGCAGAAUCCGAGCACCGCGGUUCUACUCCGGCGAAUUGGGCGAGUGUUCGAACAAUAUCACCUUACCGGAAUGGACACAGGAGGAGACGGAACAAAACAGAAAAUAGAACUGAAUCUGAGUAUAAAUUGCUAGAAAUUGCAGAUGAAAAUUUCAGUGUGUGAAUUGCUGGAAAUUGAGUAAGAUUAUAUAGACUGAAUCUGACCAUUAGUUUUUACAUUAACCAUUGCAGUUGUCGGAGUUAUACUUCGGUUUCGACCAUUGGAAUUUUAGGAGUUUCAGAUACUCAAAAGUUAUUUGGAAAAACCACAAAAAAAUUGCAAAACGCUGACAAUCCAAACUGGUCAGUUUUUGCUCCGUUCAGUCCGACAUUCGUGUGCGCAGGUCGCGCCCACAACCAAGUUCAAGAUCUGAAGGCUAUUUCUGUCCGUGAUUUGCACUCCCUGUGCGCGCACGUGAAUAGAGCCUCUAUACUACACAUGAUUACACAAUUCCAAUGCAUAGCCAUAUAUAAAGUGGUUUGGUUUUCAUGUUUUUUUUAUGUGGGACAAAGUUAACUAUAGUUUUCCCACCAACAUAGACCAUUUCCAAUAGUCCACUUUAAACUCCAAAUUCUCAUUCACCCGAACUUUAUUUUUGGCAAAUAAAUACACGACUUCGAUGUUCUCGCGGAGGAGAAGACAUAUCAACUUUGAUAUUCCAAAUUGGACCAACGGAUUCCACCGAAAAUUGUGCCAAAAGUGAGCCGCUCACUCAUUUUUUCCAACAGGUUAGUCAUAGGAUACUUACUUUUUAAUAAUAAUGCUAGAAUAUCGAUAUAAGUGAAUGUAUUUUAUACGUUCAAUUAAAUGAAUUAUUUAAUUUUAUAUUUAAAUUUGUUGAGUUCCAUUUCAUUUUGUUUAAAUGAAAUUUCUUAACAGAUGAACGACCGCCUCCUGUUUAAUGUAUGUUGAGCAUAUUUAAAAUUUAAAUGAAAUAAGAAAUGAAUAUUUAUUUUUGUGCUAUUUUAACAGAAGAGUAAUUGUUCUUUGGUCUAAUUAAACGCUUAGUCAGAACAAGAAGUAAUUUUAUUUUAUUUUUAAUUUUUUUUAAUGUAAAUUGCAACAAACCCUGAAAGAUGAAGGAUCGCGUGGAAUUAGUUACAAGUAAAUUUAAUGAUUUUAAACUUAGCCAAAUCAACGUGCACUUUCAUUUGACAAUUAUAAGUGUAAUUUACACGUUUAUUUAUGAUUAUAAACUUGAUAAAUAUCUACAAAAUGGACGAAUUUUACCUAAUUUAAUGUAAAUAUUGUCAUUAGGCAUAUGUAUGGUUCGAGUUGUGUUGAUUUUAAGCUCAAUCUGAAACCCAACCCAAUUGAAAACGAGACGCAUUUGGAUUUGGAUAAAGAGCAAAUUAAGUCCAAUACCCUAAAACAUUGACUAAAUUGACUAAUACACUAAUAACUUAUUAAAUAAUUUAAAAACGUAAUUAAUACGUUAUAAAACCUCCAAACCCCUCGCUCCCAACCCAAUACAUCUUUCACCAGAGAGGAAUUAGCGGAGAUGGCCAACCGGACUUUACCCAAAAUCUAGAAAUCUGAGUGAGUUCAAAACUGAAAUACUAGCAGACUUUAUUCAAACCUUUCCAAACAUUGCAUAUGAGGUCCUUUUGGACGGUUUUCAUCCAAAAUUCGUCAGUUGACCAAAAAAAUUAUUUUCACCACAUUUUAACAAUUUUCAAAGGGACAAAAUGGUAACUUUACAUUAAAAUCAAAAUUUCAAAAAAUAAAAGUGGUCAUCUUCUUUCCCAACCCGCCCACACCCCAUGCCACCCCAGUGAAGUCUACAAGCCAACCAUUCAUGGCAGAAACGUGAGGAGAAGAUGAGGGAAAAUUUCUAAGAAUGAGAUUUAAUGGUUAAAAAUCAAUAAGAGAGGAAAAAAAUAGAUAGAAAAAAAAAUCUAGAAAUCUGAGUGAGUUCAAAACUGUAAAUUGGUAAGGACAGAAAAAUCAGGGUAAGUUUAUUUUCAUUUCGACCAACGAGGAGCUGAAUUUGGUAAAAAUACGGCCCAAACUUCUAUGGAAAUUCCACCGACCUAGAAAAACACGAAGAUUUUAUAGAUCGGACGGCCUAAAAUCUCAUGUGACCAUAUAAAAAACUCUGCAGUGAUGAAAAAUGAGCAAAAUCUCUUAAAAUUGUCAACGUUGCUAAAGAAACCAAUAGUGGCGAUGGAAAACACGCAACUAACGUCAUUAUGAAAGAGGUGUAAAGGUUAAAGGGAAGAAGAAAUAGCACAGGUAAAGAUCUACACUGGCAACAAAUUUGCGACAAUCGCCACAAAAAUGAGACUACAAGCCUUGGAUUUGAUGGAGGAGGGAGUCGGCUCGACUCAUCAUAGCCGCCGUCCCUGUGAGAGGUAGCGCCCCCAAUCCACGAAGCCAGAAAAGUGGUGUGGGAUGGGGUGGGAGUGGGGGUGGGUUGGGAAAGAAGAAAGACACUUUUAUUUUUUGAUUUUAAUACAAAAUUAUCAUUUUGUCCCUCUAAAAAUUGUUAAAAUGUGGUUAAAUAAUUUUUUUUGUCAACUGACAAAAUUUUGGAUGAAAAUCAUUCAAAAGGGCCUCAUAUACAACGUUUGGAAAGGUUAGAAAUGAAGGUUUGCGACAAAUCAAAAGUUUGGAAAAAAUUUAUCAAUGUUUUAAAGGUUUAGAACUUCUAUUGCAAUUAUUCCUAGAAGAGUUGGUGGUCUUAUAUGUCUUCCAGGAGGAGAUUCCAAUUCCACUAAACAUAUAAAAUUAAGGACUUUACUACAUGUAUAUCAAAUUUUACAUGAUGGGUUACAUAAUACCACAUGUUACGUUAUCAUUUGUCAAUUUAAAACACAAUCAAUUUUUUCAUCUAAUCAUUUCCCUUCACAUUAUUUUGUGUAAUCCUUUAUAUUUAUUUUUUAUGUACAAGUAAUAUAAUCCAUCAAAUUUAAAGUGCAUAGAUUUGACUGUUCUAACGGAGCACAGGAAGUGGCAAGCCCACCAAAUUCAUAAAUAAUCAUGCGCACAAGCAUCAACUUUAGAGUUGACUUUGUUGAAACCAUACAUGUCUCGUCCGAAAAUGGUACAAAAUUCAAUUAAGCCCCCGUUUAGAGUGUUUUACAAGCUCAAGCUGAUAUUCUUGGAGAAUUUUCUGUAUAAUUUAGGUCAUUUUGGCAAAAAAGUCCUCCAAUGAAUUGGUAAAAAAUAAAAAAAUUUGCAGAAAUUUUAAGCUAAGAGAAAGAUUCUUAGAAGAGCAUAUAAAGUUAGUUUUAUUUCAUCCAAUGUCACGGUCUCCAAGGAAAGAUACAAAAAUGUUGGUCAUUCCCAGACUAGGCUACCCUAAAACAAGGCAUUGAGGUUAAAAAAUGGGCAAAAGCCCAUGUCAAAUAUUUUAAGGUGGAGGAGUCAAUAAAGAACGAAUUGGUCGAAUUAGAUAAAAGUAGACCGAUCAUUGUUAUAAAAUUAUCUAAUCCAACACAUUCCAUUAGUAUUCCUUCAGUAUACUCCAAUCACAUGAAUUGGUGUUGCACUCUUUGGUGCUAUUGUGUACUUUUAGUAGUGAUAUUUCUCUUAUAUAUUUUGUUAUUUAUUGAAUGCACAUUUGUAUUAGGAUUGAAUAUGUAAUGAAAAGAAAACAUUGAAACUCAAGUUUUAGUGCCAGUGUUUUUGACAAGAGUUAUCUCACCAUGCAUCAUGAAGAAGCUAGAGGGCUAAUACUUCAUGAAAUUUGCACUUUAUUUUUCCUUGUACAAUUUUUACGUUAUUCUUAUUUUAUUGAAACGAGAGGACUACCCAGUAAUAAAAAAUUCAUGGCUGAUUUCAACAAAAGAGAAUGGAAAAUACAUCUGGUUUUGUUUAGUGGAAUGAAGAAACAAGCUUAACGCCACCCUAUACUGAAGCACUUAACCAUGAGAGCUUAUCAAGGAAAUUUUAAUUCUAAUGAGAGGAAAAUGGGAGGUGGAUGGACAAGCAUGAUGAAUCUAACCAAGGGCUUCUCUCUCAUCAUGGUCACCAUCCACCUGGCGCCUAACCUCCCUAAGGCUAUAUAUGCAAUAGUUUUUAGUGCUUCAACCAUUGAAUAAAAUUUUGUGCACUAUUCGUUUUUACAUGUAAAAUGGGAUGAUUUUUAGAAAAAAGUAGUUCAAUUUGCAUCUAGGACACCCUCUGGAACUUUCCUUAACCCUUUUCCAUUCACUAGGCCUCAUCAACAAUUGAAGUCAACAUAUAUCUUCUUACCAAAAAGAAUCUGAAUUUGAAUAUGUUAUGUUGGCAAAAUAAAUUAGUGCAGUUCUUAAAUUAAGUGGCGAUAUAUUUACAUGAACGUAAAUUUUGUGUGUGUCAAUUUUGUGCCAAUUGUCACUUUAGCACAACUUUGUCCAAACUUUUUUUUUUAUUAUAAAUACUUUCUAAGAUGUGCAUCCUGAAAUCAAAUAUGACAAAUAUGAAUACCUCUUCGUGGAUUCGAAUCUACAUUUAGUUUACUUUUAUAGCUCGAGGCAUAAUUAGUUAGCCUACAGCUCUUUAUAGUUCCCCAACUUCCCUGGGUACUUUUAAUCGUGGAUUUAUUUAUCAGUCCCUAAAUGAAUGUUCUUACUUAAUUAUCAUGUUAUAAUUGGCUCAUUUAUUUGCUUUGGAGUGCACAUAACGGAGGUGUGUUGCUAUAAUUUAAAUUCCAACAUUUUGUCCAAUAUAUUUUGCCGUCGCACCAAAUGUUAAAGUUUUUUGUUGUUUAAUAGUACUCAAAUUGAAAGUUCGGCAAAUACAUUUUUAAACAACAAACAACUUACCCUUAUUUUAAUAAUUUGGGAUCUGCUGCAUAAUUGUUUUCGCUCCAUAAGAUCCAGUGAAGCUAGAUCAUUAACAACCAUACCAUAUUGUUAGUUUUAGUCUACCUCUCUCUGUUCUAAUACUUUAGAUCAUUGGCAACAUUGCGUGAACUCAUUUCAGUUUAAGCAAGUUGAAGAAACAGCUCUUAAGCUUGAUUUAGAUGGGCUUCUUGUGAUUAAUGGAGAUUGCUCUAUAAAUGCUUCUCUUAUGGCUGAAAACUUAAGGUAAGUAUUCUAUUGUCUUGAGAAAUUGUCAUCACUUCUGAUUCAUUGUUUUGUCUCUAAAAUCUUCUCUUAUGAGGUCUUUUAUAAUGGCAUAUCAUUAAAUAUAUUGAUUUGCUAACGUAUAUAUUGUGGCCUUGAUUCCAAGCUUUUAUUUUUAUGUUAUUUCAGGAGUAAAAAUCUGAAAACUACGGUCGUUGGAUUGUUGAAUUGCAAUUUUUUUUUCAUUUAUUUCGAUCUUUUAAGAAAUUAAACUCAAAAUACAAAAGUCCGUUCUUUUCAUAUUCUUUUUGUGUAUUUUUUGUUGAGUUUUCCGGUUGUGUAUACGUUUUUAGGUUUUUGCAGUUGUGGUGUUCAAUAUAAGAUUUCUUCCUUUUUUUUUAUCUUUUGGGAUUUUUGAGACAUUUGUGUACAUAAUUUUCAUUCUCUUCAUCGUGUCUUCUUUUUUUGUUAAAAUGUAUUUUUCCUAAAGUGUUUAGCAAACAAACCCUUACAAUAGAACUUCAAGGGGUGAGCAUUCAACCGAACGACAUCUAUCGGAGUGUUCUCGCUUCUCAAGCCUUCUUUCUCUUGAGAUUAGCUCCUAACCCGCUCUUUGUUUAUCGAUAUCUGUGACUUGAUUAUUACAGUUUUUUUAUUGAAGCAUUUCUACAUUUCUGCUGCCGUGAGAUUUUGUUGAUGACGAACUGGAAAAUGAUCGCAUUAUUUUCUCAGCUAUUGCCAGGUUUAUGUGUUGCUUUUGAAUAGAAAAUUCAUAUUCAGACUUGUACUUGUGUUUAAUUCUUCGAUUGAUUCAUUAAAAUAAUUAAUAAUUCUCUUUGGUUUUCAUCUUUUGGGCUCUAAGAUUGUGCUUCUUUUGUUCAUUCUUCUGAAUUCACUGAUGAUUAUCGAUUUUUAGCCAAGAAUGCUUGUUGGAUUUUAAUGUCCUUUAUUAAUUUUCAAAUUCAAUUGAUUUUCCUGACUUCAGGUUUUACCUUGAGUAAGUAGAAAGUAAGAAAAUUUCUAUUCUCCAGAAUCAGAAAUGGAUACUUUUUCUUAUAGAAAAUGUUCUUUCCGAUUCUGUAGUGCACAUUAUUGUUAGGUUUUUGUGUAAUACAAUUAAUAUUUAAAAUGAAAGAAGUAGAAAACGAUAAAAGCAUACUAUUUUUCUUUUAGUUAUACUUUUUACUAUUUGUCAACUAUUUCUUUAGGGAUAUAUUAAGGAUAAGAUUAGUUCCAAGUUAAUUUCUUUUUUAGGUUCAGCAUCUUAUUAUUGUGUUCUCUCCUAUCCAAAGGGGUAAAUUUCCUCAAUAGUAAAUGACAAUUUUUUAUUUUUUUUAAAUGAAGUGAAGAUUGGAUGGUUUACUUUAAGGGACCACUUCUUCGUUCUUUGAUAAAAGUAAUGAAGAGGAAGGGCUCCGAACAAGCUCAGGUCUUAAAAUCUGUCCUUUCUGAAGAACAAACAACUACGUAAGAUUGCAAGCUAUAUGUUCUUGAGCAACAUAAGUUUUUGCACACUUCCCUCUUACCAAAGGCUCCCGAAUUGAUAUCCUAUUUUCGUCUUCUAAUGAUUUCUUUAUAUUUUACGUGCUUCAUGUUAGAGUUACCUUCCAGAAUUUCAGGGACUACAUCGAAUUUUGUGAUUAGUACGCCCGGGAUGAUUAUUUCUUUCAAUGAUAGAAAUUAUGGAUGAAAUAAGUAACUCAUAUGCCUCAUUGGAUUAUCCACGUUGUCUUCUGUCAUUUGAUUAAAUCCUAUGGGGCCUAUGAUAGUGAUAUUUGGUAUGUAAUAAUAUUAUUUCUGUAAAUUAGCAAUUGCAAUCCAUGAAACAUACUGUAAAGAUUUAUGAUAAGAGAUAUUUAACUGAUUAAUAAAGAACAAAUUAGCACACCAUAAAUAUGCUUUGAUCCAACUUCUAUCUUUGUAGCUUUAUUAGGAUAGUAAUUCAACACUCUAUCCAUCAUGCAUGAUUGAUCAUCUCCAUAUAUAGGAUCACCAUCAUUGUCCAUUCAGAAAAAAAGUUGUUAGUUCGAUUUCAAAUUUGUCAGUUUGCUAUAAUAAGAAAUCGAAAUUUUGAAAUCUUAGUAAACAAAAGGUGUUCUGGUAUAAUAAUUUAACCUUUUAUUUUUCUCUUUUUUUAAUCAUUUUCAAGAGAAUAAUAUGAUUGAAUAAUUUGAAUAAUAAAGUUGAUAAUAUUGGUUCAUGAAUUAAAGAUUUAGAUUUUUUUCAGCUAAAAGGGAUUAAGGGGAGGAAUGUGUUUCAUAUGUGCUACACUAUUGAAUAAUUUAUAUUAGCUUAAGUGAAUUUGUAAGAAUUAUCGAGAACAGCUUAAUUUUGUACAAGUUUUUGCCAAGAACUUAAAUAACACAUCCACGAAAAUCACAUGUUUGUAAGUUUGAACAUGUUAGUUCAUGCAAGAAAGUAAAGAAUGUUUCAAAAUCGAUGUAGGAUUAAUUAUUCCUUUGAAAUGCUCUACAAGCAUAGGUUUAGUUCAUCUACCCUGAUGUCAAAAAAUAUCUUAAUGUUGAAAUAUAAUAUUGCUUGAGAAGAAAGAUUUUAUGAAUUGAUUGUAAUGAAAAUCUAAUGGCAUUGUCGUCUAAACUUCAAGACUUCCAGGUCGGGGAAAUUAUUUGAAGUUUGUCUCUGUGCCAUCACAUGUUUCACUUACCUUGCACUUAUACCUAGCUUCUCAGACAUGGAUCUAGCCCAAUGUACAGGAGAGGCCUGUAAUCUUCUCUGCUCUGCAACUUGGUAUCACCUCUCCAUUAAAAAGUCAACAUUUCGUUUAUUGUGCAUUUUUCACUUUAUCUCUUUCACACUUUAACUGUAUAGGUACAGUUCAAUCCUCGAUGAAAUCAUUAAAUCUCUAUCAGUUUUCUCUAAUUUUCUUUUGGGCCUAUAGGAAUUGAUAGUUCAUCAAGUUCGGAGCUGGUUGGGUUUUCCCAUUGUUUAGUUUAUUUCACGAAGACAGGUAAAAAUUUAAUCUUUCUUUGACUUUUUAAUUGUUGUUCAUGUGCUUCGACCUUAUGGCUUUGCUAUACAUUUUUUUUCAAUGUGACGUUUGUUUCAAUGAGUAUCUAUGAUGUCAUCUUUCAAGUGUUGUUGAUGCAACUUCUUCUUCUUCUUCAUUUUUAUUUUUAUUUUUAUUUUAUUUUUAUUUUUUAUUUUUUUAAGAUUAGCUCAUUUGAGCAAUUUUGUUCCACUAAAUUUAUAAUUUUUGCUUCACUAAAUUUAUAAUUUUUGCUAUCUUGCUUGUGAAUUAUUAGUAUUUGUUGUUCUUUCUUCUUCUAUAAAUUGUGGAAACUAACAAUCAAGACAGUGUCGUCUUUCAGACGCGAAAACCUAAGGUCAAGGUUUGCAUUGUUUUGGUGCUAUGUUUUGGAAUAAUAAUUAUUCAAAUCGAGACUUUGCUACGUGUGCUGUUGAAUCUUGCUUGAAAUUGUAGUUAAAAGAGUUAAAUUUUCCUCAUUCCCCAAGUAUUAAUUAUUAUUAUUAUCCAUAUUUUCAUUAUCAAUGGUAUUGAAAUGUGAAGUAGAGGAUUGGAACUUUAUAUCAUCUAUGACUACUAAAAUGGAUGUAGCACAAACGAUUUGGUUACUACUAAAAUGGAAGAGAUAAUGAAAAAAACUAAUAUCAAUAGGAAUAAAAAGGGACACAAGAAGCAGGCUUUGAGUUUUGGGUAUCCAAUUUUCUUUGCUUUAACCCUAAUUUCACUCUUUCUCUCUGGGUCGUGGAAAAGAAAUCCAAAGAAUUUGCAGACAACUCAGACACAUACAUGUUUAAACCGAUUUAGCAUCCUUGGCAUUCGUGUUAAAAUAUAUUCUGAUUAUUUGGAAAAGUUUCGAAGUUCUUCAUUGUCGACCCAAGAAAAGGGCUGAAUGAUUUCCAGGUAUAUCAAUUUUCUUUUGCUCUUGAGGAUCAUGUUCGAAUUUUCACUUUUCAAUAGUUGAAUCAGACUAUUCUUCAUCUUGAAUAACUUGUUAAUUGAGUUGUAGUCUGUAUAAGAACAACUUUAAAAUUGUAAUAAAUGUAAGAUAUGCUUCAAAUUGAUCAUAAUUUGUAGUGAACUUGUCAUCUUCUGUUGGGUUGUAAGAAUAUCAUCUCUUGAUGUUUUCAUAUGGCAGAAGAUGCUGGAUUAUAUGGGAAAAAUUGUGAGUACCUUGUUUGAAUGAUGCUUUAACUUUUCUUUCAAGAUCUCUGCUAUAGUUGAAAUUCAAGAUGGUUAGACUAUUGUGUUAUAAAUACAUCUAUUUGGUUGUAAGUUAUACUAAAUUUCUUUCAACUCCCUCGAUGAAAGAAACAAACUUUACAAUUUCCAUUUUAGUUUACAUUAGACUGUGGACAUCGAAGUCGAAUGUUUUCUUUUAGGGAAUAAAUUAGAGUUGAGUGAAUAUCUGAAUCUCAAGCUGGUAUAUAUAUUUUCGUUUUAGUGAAUAUUUUUUGUUCAACUUGUGUAAUUCUAUAUAGAGUUAGAAUUUCAGUUGCUGAAUGUUUUUACCGUUUUACUUAUUUCACUAAGCAUGUAAGGUAAUUCUUUAGAUGUAUUGUGUGGAGUAUAAAUUUUUAUUGUCUACAGUGCAUAUAGAGUAGCAAUCUUCUGACUUGAAUUGGAGUUUAGUGAUUCAAGUGUGAAAGAAACAAAUGGGAGAUGAAAUAAAUUAGAGUUGGAAUAAUUAAUUAUUUCAUAUGUGGGCUUCACAUUAGAUUGCAAAUUUUACGGGUUAGAUAUAUGGCUCAUAAUGAUAUUUGUAUUUGGGCCAAAUUUAUUAAGUGAUCAAUUGGGCCUUUUACACCUUACGGGUUGUAAUUAAUUUGAUGUGGUAAUUUAAAGUAUAUGGGCCGGAAAUAAAUCCUAAUUAGAAUUCUAGUCGUAAUGGGACGGCUCAAAUUAUUUCUUAUAUAUAAAGACUAGGUCCCCUCUCCUCUCCAUAUGUUUUAUUGGCUUUCCCCAUUGAUAGCUAUUACUUUGUGAGGAGCAAAGAGAGGAAGAUUUUGGCUGUUAUUACAACAAUUAUUCAUAUCAACAAUGGCUUCCACAUGUAUGAAUUCGAUUUAUCAAUUUAUUGUUUUGUGAUUCUUGAUUCUUAGCAUGAUUAAAAUUAAAUAUUAACAAUUGGUAUUAGAGCUUCUACGCUAAGAUCAGAAUCCUUCAUAAAUUUUUUUUUUUUUCAUCUCUCGAUUUUUGGCUGAAUAAUUCCAGAAUUUUUUUUUCCAAACUGCCAAUUUAAAAAUGAAUAUAAAGUCGCUAAUUUUGGCUUCCGCAGCCACUAGUGGAUUUAAAAUUGUUAAAUUUUCAAGAUUUUGGAUUGUUAUUAAGCUUCCAAUUUGGUUAUGCAGCCACCAAUUUGAGCUUUGGAAUUAUUAUGUUUUGAACCAUGAUUUCCAGCAGCAAUUUUAAUGUUUGGAGUCAAUUCAUUUUUUGUCUUUCAUCCUAGCUUCCGCAGUAGGCAAAUCCGCGGCCACAAGUAAUAAAACAUAGAUUUUGACUAACUUCCUUUUAGGAUUAAUUCUUGAAUCUGAAUCUGGAUGUGUAUUGGGUUUUUCUGUUCUAUUUUUUUUUUUAACAAGUGUGUGAAUCUGUACGUAUGUGUAUAAAUUUAUGGGCAUGCCAUUUUGUAUAUUUACAUAUUAUGUGCAUAAAUAUUUGUAUAAAGCUGCCUAUUUGGUGGUCAUCUGGGCGAUGACGUACUGGCAAAAUGCAGCGUCGGUAGCCGAGGCAAAAAAAAAGGAAAAGUUUUUCCCUUUAGGAUUUUCUGAAAAUCGAUUUUGAAUAUAUUGGAGACGGGAGCCUUUGUUGCAAAUUAUGGGUUUAGAGGCCCCUGUCUGCAAUUAAGAGAUUGGGCUUAAACUUGCAAUUUUAAAAGGAGGGCCUGUCAUGUAAUUUGUAUAGUUGAGGGACCUGAUUUUAAUUUGUGUUUAGUAUUAAAAUGUAAUUUUCAAUAAGGGACUCUUAAAUUUGAACUUCUAAAGUUUUGACCCCUAAAAUUUUAUUUUUGACCAAAUCAAAACUUUAUUUGAUAAUAUACCCAAUUAAAAUAUAUUAAUUAAUAAUAAUAAUAAUAAUUUGAUAGACGACUUUUAUAUUUUUCAUUAAAUUGUAUAUGUAUUUAAAUAUUGCCAUUAUUUAUGCAUUUAAAUUUCAUUUUUUGAAAUUUUGUUGUGAACUUCAUCUCUCAAUCACAUAUGAAUAUUUAUCUUUUAUCGAUUAUUGAUUAUGAUUUGUUGCGUGACUAUUGUUUUGUGAUUGAAUUUUUAUGGAAUUUGAGACAAUCAUUAUUUUUCCCACAAAGAGAAAUAUUUUGAAAUAAAAAUGGGUGGUAGCUGCCAAAGUGGCACACUCAUUAUUAUUUAUUCGAUUUUCUCUACAAUAAAAAUACAUAUAUUUUUGCCCAACAACUUUUGAUUUAUUGCAUAUAAUAUCUUGCCCAAAGGUGUUAUUAUAUGUAAUAUUUUUGGAAAAUGGCAUGAGAAAGUUAACGAACUUAUUUUGGUUUAGAAAUUUCCUUCUGCCCAAAGGCGUUGGUGUUUCGAAAAUCAGUGUAAUUUUGCUAACUAGCUACAUGAUGUGUUUUAAGAGUACCUUAUAGCUUGUUGUAUUGUCGACCCAAAGGUGACUUUAUGAUGAUUCACCUAGGCUCUUACCGUAAUAAAAUUCAUAUGUUUCGAUUUAAAUUACGGAUUAUCUAAUUAAUAGCCCAUAUUAAUUAGUUGGAUAUUUCAUCAUCCAUUUGAUUGCAUGCAUUAAGUUUGGAUGAUAUUGAGAGUGAUAUUUUAUGUUUCCACAGUUUAUAAUGCCUCAUCUCUUUCGAAUCAAUUGUCUGCUAUUGAAACUUUGACUGGUAAUAACUAUGUGAGAUGGAAACGAGACGUAGAAAUAGCACUUGGUCUUUUGGACUUGGAUUUUGCAAUGGAGAAAAAGCUUGAAAAACCCACAGAUAAGAGUAUCGUUGAAUAUGUAGCGAGCAUGAAAAGUGGGAAAGGGCUAACAAACUUUAUUUGAAAAUCAUUAAGCGAUCGAUAUCUGAUUCCAUUUUAGGUGUCAUCCCUGAUAAUGAAAAUGCCAAAAGUUUUAUGGAUGCCAUAGGAGAAAAAUUUAUUGAGUCUGAUAAAGCCGAAACUGGGGAUCUGAUGGAUAAAUUUAUGAGCAUGAAAUAUGACGGUACAAGUGGAGUUAGGGAGCAUGUCAUGAAAAUGAUAAAUAUAUCAUCUAAGCUAAAGGCUCUUGACAUUCCCAUUGCGGAGCUUUUCCUGGUCUAUCAUGUUUUGAAUAGCCUUCCUAGCAAAUUUAAUCAGCUUAAGGUUGCUUACAAUGCUCAGCGGGAUAAGUGGAAUUUGAAUGACCUCAUAGCAGUGUGUGCCCAAGAAGAGUAUAGGAUGCGCCGUGAAACUGUUGAAACCGUGCAAUUAGCUUUUCAGCCAUCACAGAAUAAGGGGCCUUCUCAUAAUCAUAAACCUAAGUUUCUGGAGAACGAUUUUGGAGACAGUGGGAGUUCCACGUUGAGAGAAAUUCUUGUUGAACCCAAUCAAGUUAUUGUUCCAGUUCCCAUCAUACAGGAAAGAGUUGGUUCCCAACCAAUUGAAGUUGUUAAUGAAGAAUCGAUAAACCAGGAGGAAUCUCCAAUUCCUCAAACAACGAUUGAAUCAGUUAUUGAGCCACAAGUUAGGAGAUCACAAAGGGAAAGAAGAUCUGCAUUGCCCAAUGAUUAUAUUGCAUAUUUAUUGGAGAGCGAUUUUAAUAUUGGGCAUAUUGUUGAUCCUGUAACUUAUAACCAAGCAUUGACAAGUCGUGAUGCAGAUAAUUGGAUAGCUGCCAUGGAAGAUGAAUGAAUUCCAUGGAAAGGAAUAAAGUUUGGGAUCUUGUUGAACUUCCUCCAGAUGCUAAGGCUGUAGAUAACAAGUGGAUUUUCAAAAGUAAAUUAGAUUCAAAAGGAAAUGUUGAGCGAAAGAAAGCAAAAUUAGUUGCAAAAGGUUUCACUCAACGAGAGGGCAUUGAUUAUGUUGAAACCUUCUCCCCUGUUUCGUCGAAAGAUUCUUUUCGAAUUAUCAUGGCUCUUGUGGCACACUAUAAUUUGGAGUUUCAUCAAAUGGAUGUUAAGACAGCAUUUUUGAAUGGAGAUCUUUCUGAAAUGGUUUAUAUGAAACAACCUAAAGGUUUUGUUGUAAAAGGAAAAGAAAACUUGGUGUGUAAAUUAAACGAAUCUUUAUAUGGUCUUAAGCAAGCAUCUCGACAGUGGUAUUUGAAGUUUGAUGAGGUUGUGACAUCUCUUGGUUUUGUCGAAAAUACUAUUGAUCAAGGCAUUUAUCUUAAAACCAGUGGGAGAAAUUUUAUUUUCCUUGUAUUGUAUGUUGAUGACAUUCUGCUUACUAGCAGUAACUUAGGGCUGCUUCAUGAGACAAAGAAAAUAUUGUCUGCUAAUUUUGAGAUGAAAGAUCUUGGAGAAUCUUCCUAUGUACUUGGCAUUGAAAUACAUCGUGAUAGAAAUCAUGGUUUAUUGGGACUUUCUCAGAAAGCUUAUAUACGACGUGUUCUAGAAAGGUUUAAUAUGCAAAAUUGUGCACCUGGUGAUGUACCUAUCAUAAAAGGAGAUAAGUUUAAUAAAACUCAAUGUCCAAGGAAUGAACUGGAAAGGGAGUCUAUAAAGAUGAUCCCAUAUGCUAGUACUGUGGGAAGCUUGAUGUAUGCUCAAGUUUGCACUAGACCGGAUAUAGCCUACGCAGUAAGUGUCCUUAGCAGAUUUCAGUCUAAUCCAGGACAAGAACAUUGGAAAGCAGCUAAAAAAAUUAUGAGAUAUUUGAAGAAAACUGAAAGUUAUAUGCUUACAUUUCAGCGUACAAAUCAUCUUGAGGUGGUAGGAUAUUCAGAUUCUGAUUUUGCUGGAUGUCAAGAUGAUUUGAAAUCAACCUCAGGUUAUAUUUUUACAUUAGCUGGUGGUGCCGUUUCUUGGAAAAGUGUUAAACAGACUUUAGUGGCAUCUUCUACUAUGCAAGCUGAAUUUGUGGCAUGUUAUGGGGCUACAGUCCAAGCCGUUUGGUUAAGAAAUUUCAUCUCUGGCUUGAAAGUUGUUGAAUCCAUCUCAAGACCGAUCACCAUCUACUGUGAUAACAGUGCAGCAGUAUUCUUUUCAAAGAAUAAUAAAAGUUCUGGUGGAUCAAAACAUAUUGAUAUCAAAUACUUGGUCGUUAGAGACAGAGUCAAAGAAGGGCAUACGAAAAUAGAGCAUAUCAAUACAGAGGCGAUGGUUGCAGAUGCCUUGACUAAGGGACUCGCUCCAAAAGUCUUUAAGACACAUGUUACUAAUAUGGGUAUUGUGGAAACAUUUGAUGUUUUUGGUUAGUGGGAGUUAUUUAUGUAAAGAACUACGUUUUGGGCUUGAUCCCUUUAUGGGGUACGUAGGCAACCCAUAUGAUUUUAGGUACAGCCCCUUCUGAUGAUAAAAUAAUUUUUCCCUAUCCAUGAACUAUUUUUAAGCAUGCAUUUGACUUAUGUCUUUUUAUUUAAUUUCGAGUUACUCUACAUGAUUUCUAUUUUUUUUUUAAUCGGAUGGGAGCUAUAGAAACAACAACAUUUGAAGAGCUCUAGAAAAUUUUUGACAUAGGUGGGGCAAAGGGUUUGGUUGGAGAGACACAAUCAAAAAUAUCCCAAAGAUUACGAUUGGUAAAGAUGUAAAUGUUGAUGCUUCUAAAGAGAAUCUCUCUUCUUCAAUCUAUCUUCAAAUAUUAUUGAUCAUGGUAAUAAUGUUUCCUUUAUUAGUGGAAUCGAUUGCAAAGAAAAUCUUAUGGCAUCAUCUUCUAAACAUUCAAGACUUCUAGGUCAGGGAAAUUGUUUGAAGUUUACCUCAGUGCCACCACAUGUUUCACGUCCUUGCAUUGAUACCUAGCUACCUGGACAUAGAUCUUGCCCAAUGUGUAUGAGGGGCAAUAAUCUUCUCUUCUCUGUAAUUUAUCAUUACCUCUCCAUUAAAAGAGUCAACACUUCAUUUACUGUGUAUUCUUCAGUUUACCUCUAUCACACUUAAACUUUAUAGGUACUAUUCAGCCCUUGAUGAUAUCUUUGAAUCUCUAUCAGUUUUCUUCUGGCCUAAAAGAAUCAAAUCGAUUGUUGAGUAUGGAGUUAGGUUUCCCCAUUUGUUUUGUUCAGUUCAUGAAGAUAGGUAAAAAAAAUUUAUUCAUUUGACUUUUUAAUUGUUGCUCAUGUGGUUUGACUUUUUAGCUUUGCUAUACUUUUUGGUUUUAUUUGAUUGGCUAUGAAUUAUUAAUAUUUGUUGUUCUUUCUUGUAUUAAAUUGUGCUGACUAACGAUCGAGGCGAUGUUGUCUUUCAGAAGCAAAAACCUAAGGUCAAAAUUUGCAUUGCUUUGGUCCUCAGCUCUGAAAUAAUAAUUAUCAAAAUCGAGACUUCGCUAUGUGCGCGUUCAAUCGCAAUAGAAUCAAUAUAAUUAGCUGUUUCUUUCAUUUCUGUCAAUGGCAUCCUUUGAAAAUCAUAGUGGACUUGCCAACAAUUCUGUAAGAUUUUUCAUCAUUUUGCUUUCUAGGUUCAAAUUCAUCAAUUACUCUUCUUUCUCUGGGCUAAAGUAUUGUCGAAAAGUAAAUGAUGUACGUUUUGGUGACUGGUUGAGUGGUUAUUGGUUUGGAGAAAGGAGUGCCUAGAAGCAGUAUUGGUCUCAUUCUUAAGGCAUGUCGACCUUGUGUUACUUCCAUCAUGAUUUGUUAAAUUUUUUCUCCUUUUCUUGUUCUUGUCUUUGUUUAUUUUUUGUUCUUUCAUUGUCAAUCUCCCUUUUCGGAGGAAUAUGAAUUAAAAUACAACACCCUAAUAUGUACAUCUACUCAUUGACCUUCAUUCGAUCAGUGCACAUCUCUUAUUUAUCAUUCACAUUAAAUACUCUAACAUUACCUUCAAAAUAACAUAACCCGUGCAUUGGACGAGCAAAAAACUAGUACUUUAGAGAAGUUUCAACAAUGUUAUUUUGUUGUUGCUCCUAUAGAAGCACAAUUGUGUGUAUAUAUAUAGUAUCUGUUGUAAAAGGAAAGAUUAUUAGGAUUUAGAGGUGAAUUACAAUUAUACCCAUGUAGCUCGAGAAAUAAUUAUUAUUGUAUCCCUAAUUUUGCAAUAUAAAUAGGGGGCUUUGGUUCUUUAUAAAACACACAAGUCUAUUGACUUUUCUCUAUUCUCUUCUCUUUUCUCUCUUUUCAUAACACGUUAUCAGCACGAUAGCUUGAUUUUUAAAAGUUUAGUAAAUGCAGUAAUUUUUUUAUAAGUAUAAAUAUUUAUCAUAUGUACCAAAAUUAAUUUGGUGUCAUGUGAAUUCUUUUGAUAUACAUGUACAUCAUAACAAUGUUGUUCAUUCUCCUUUACUUUUCAUUGGUAUACAUAUUAAUUUUAAGAGGAAAUUACAAAAAGAGUCAAAAUUUCACUUUGCAUUAUCAACAAUGUCAUCUUUUUAAAGUUCUAUCAAAAAUGUCAUUUUCAGACUUCUUUGCCCUCUGAAUAAUUUCAAUACCUUAUGUGUCCUUCAUUAAAUGUAAUAUGACUAGACUAUUAAAAAUUGUACAAAAACAUGUGAAAUGUCAGGAUAAAAGGUUGGAAAUAGAAGAAAGAAAGGAAGAAGGUGAAACGAGAAAAAAAAGAAACUGGCUGAAAGCGUGAAAACCACUUCACUCUCUCACUGGAAUCACCCACCUAUGACCCGUCGACGACCACUGUGAAGACGUUCACUGUCGAAGACGACCAAAACAAAAUACAAACUCACUCCCCUCUAACAUUCGAAUCAGUUGAAGCCGAGUAUUGACUCCCUGUCAUUCAAAUCGUCCAACGCCCAACCAUCGACGAUCGCCGUGAAUCAGCCCACAGUCGAAGAAGACCGUCCCUAAUAUCUUCAGGUUGGUGUUUUAUUCUGUUUUUAUAAUUUUGUGGAGAAGAGAAAAUGGUUUUACUACGUAAACCUAGUUUGGGAUGAUGGUAUGUUGAAGCUUUUUUAUGUUGUACAUAUGAUAUGAAAAUUCAUAUGUGAAAAACCCAUUUUGAGUUAUUAUACAUAAAAAUGAGUAUCUGGAUUAAUUGAAUGGAGUUAGUAGGGAGAAAAAUUAAAAAAUUUCGAAAAUUAAAGAUGUGCAUAUUAGGUGUUUGUGAUAAUGUAAGAACAAAUAUGAAUUCAAAUCCCAGUGAGUCAUCUACUUAAGUUGGUGAAUUAGACAAUGCUAUCCCUGUACACAUCUUUUAGGAAUGAGUUUAAUGUAGCUUGCUUUCAAUAUACUGUGAAUAAACUUAAGUAUAAAAGGUAUACCUACAACAAGUAAUUUCAAUUUCACGUCAAACCAAACUUAAUUCAAGGUUCGCACAUGCAAUUCUUACUAGACAACUUUCCCUGUUUUUUUUUUUUAUUUUCCUCCCUCAAUGUGAAAAUAGUUUACAGCUCUUCAAGUGAACAGAACUGAGCCUCAUUAUCGCUUGGCUACAUGGAUACCCCUAUUCUGCUCUACUAUUAGUAAAUAUUAAGGCCUAAAGUGCAUCUAUGGUACGCAAUACUUGACAAGAAAAUAUAAAAAAAUAAAAAUUUAGCUUUAUGUUCUUUGUUCAUGUUGUCUGGUAGCAUCCAAAUCCCUGACCAAACAUGCCAAAAGACUUGAUAUUCCAUCUCACCUUCCCAUCUUUCAUUAUGUAUUCUAAGAACCAUAGUUGCAAAAGUAGGGGUGUUUGAGUAUUCAAGAACUGUCGGGUCAUCCCUAUAACCUUGAUAUUGUCCAAGAACCACCUCGUCAUCUUUGAUUGGAACCACUAAUUGGAGAACCUGAGUUUAAACUAAAUUAAAGAGAAACUACGAACUUGAGUUUGAAUCUGGAAAAAAAAGCUAUGAAAUGAAAAUCGGAAGAAAGGAAGAGAAACGACACACAAAAUACCUAAACUCACCCACUCCUCUCUCUCACUAAAAGCGAGCACCGUCCUGAAGAAGGCUAAAGUGGAAGCCCACUCCUCUGUCUGACUAAAAGCGACCACCGGCAGGAAGGAGGCUAAAGUAGAAGUGCUGGUGGAAUUGCCCAAUGCCCCACCGCCUUUGCUUUUAUUUUGAUUUGGUAAGAAUUUUUUUUAUUUUUAUUUUUGGCUUUCUUCAUCGUGAACUUGUUUUAUCCUAUUUCAUAUGGUUUACGACCUGCAUUUAUCGGCAUUGGAAUAGACUUCUUCAUCUACAUCUUCAUUUUUAGUGUUUGUAAUUAUGAAUUCUUUCACUGAUAUGUUGGAAAACUUGCUUGUUCUGCUUCUAUUUAGGUUUAGGGUCAUAAUUAAUUGUGAUAAUUUGUUUCAGUGCAAAUUGGUUCUGUGUCGAAUGGAAUCGACACUAGAAACAGGGGAAUUUUUUGUUUAUCGUUGUUAAUGUUUUUGGUUUUUGUAAAACUUUAUUCUUUCUUGCAGUAUCGUUAUGGAAUUGGCCGACUUGUACGUUCAUUAAUGUAAAAUUUGUACUUCAUAAAUGAAAAAAGCUUGUGCGCAAAUUAAUUAGCAACAACUUAUUUUUAGUAACUUUUGGUUUCUGAAGUAAUAUUACAUUAACUGGGAGAGAUGAUGGUCUUCGAAGCAUUCAUCAAUCAGGAAAACUGGAUACAAUUAUUGGAAGACAAAAAACAUGUUUAUUUUAGAAGGAACUGGGGAUCUUAUAUUGGGAAAUCUGCUAAAAACUAAACCAUGUCGGUAUGAUAAAGCCAAGAAGGUAUUCAUGAUUUGGCUCUUCUAUGCUGCUUUCUUUAAUUAUAUCAGUGUUCGUUUGGCCUAAAAAUAGCUUCCCCUCAACAUGAAUUCCAUUCACUUUCUUCCCAUUUAUCGUUUCAACCUAUUUGUAACCUCUCAUAUUUGCGAAUAUCUUCAAGCUUCUUCCACUAUCACUGUCCAUGCCUGUCCUUCGACAUGAAGUGUUAACCUUCCUAUAUGCAUUUCCUCUUAAAUCACUUACUACGAAAGUGUCGUUCCCAACUGUUGGCAAUAGAAAUUCUCUACAGAUGGAAUCGUCAACAUAUGAACUGUCAAUCUCGACAGUUAGCCUCAGUAAUUCUCUACAGAUGAGCCUGUCCACCGUUGAACUGUAGGGAACGACAGUUCCUUUGUUCCAUAGUUUUGCAAGUUGAAAUUUGGUUCCGACAUUGCACGUAUUUUUCGCAUUAAAAAUACUGUUAUGCUCUGAUGUCACGAUUUCGUUCAUUGAUCCGUCGUUGCAACAUCAUACGUGUGUUUCACAUUACUAUUACUGAAUUGUAUGAUCUCACGAUUUUUUUACUGGUUCCAACAUUGCAUGUCUGCUUUUGCAUUAACAUCAUUGCAAUGCUAUGAUCCGAACAUUUGUUGAUUGAUUCGUCAUUGCACCUUGUUUGUCCAAAUGUGGUUCAAUUUUUUCCAUCCCGACGUCUCGUGUGUCUUGAAAUAAUACGAUCUGAUGUAUUAAAUUUUUGUUAAACUGCAGGAGGGUGCAUGAAUUUCGAAUAUCUAGUUCCAAAGAAUGCGCUACAAAGGGCCCACAUCUCACAGCGAAGCAAUCUACGGUACGUGAAGACAGUCCUCGAGCAUUUUGAUGAUCGGCAGCGUAUGGACUUCCGUAACUCAUGCCUAGGGUUCUUAUCCGAGGUUCGAGAUCUCCAAUUCUCAACCCAACUAAUCCAGCAACUCGUUUUUCGCUGCAUACGAACUGAAAAGGCCUGUGAAAUAUGGUUCAAAGUGCAAGGCCACUUAGCCAGGUUUGACCUACAAAAGUAUGCUCUCGUCACGGGUUUAAUGUGUGGUCCUCUUUCAGAUGACGCCGUGAUGGACUGAGUUCUGCAAAAGAGGAGAUUGUAGGAUAAAUACUUCAAAUCAAUCGACAGGAUUUCGUGUGGCGAACUUGAGAAGGCAUUUCUCCGGUCGUCGAUGCCCCGAACAGAUCGGUACAAGCUCGGGCUUGCUCUAAUCAUCGAAGGAGUGUUCAAUGCUCCGGAUAGCCAUGCCGGUAUUGAACUUCCCACACUGUCGAUCGUGGACGAUCUGGACAUGUUCUAUUCCUACCCUUGGAGUAGAGUAUUAUACAUUCGUCUAAUAAGGGGCUUCCGAUGCAGUCUGGGACAAAAAUUUGUAGAUGCCACGAAUAAGAAGGAGAAGACAGUUAUUUAUACAGUUCAUGGCUUUCCCAUUGCCAUAUAGGUACUGCACAAAAAUUUUGUACAACGUAUUCAUUAUUUCAUCAGAAAUGUAUUGUCAUUGGUUCCUUUAAUGUUCAACUCACACUUACUAUCUGCUGUAACAGAUCUGGGCAUUCGAGGCAAUGCCAGAAAUUGGGGAUCGAUUUGCUCGGCGAUUGGGCCAUCAAUCCCCACGGCUUCUGAGUUGGACGUGUACCAAACAGCUGCAGCAAUGGACGUAUGAUGCAUUCUUCAAGAACAUUAAGGUAUUGGAUUACAUUUCAUGCACGCGAUCUGCAUGUGUCGUUAGUCGUUACAUUUGUGGUGACACUCAGUUCCUUUAUGUUGCAGCUGCACGUGUCCGCGACACUUCGUCCCACCGAAGUCGAGCUUGGGCAACCAUAUAUCUCCACCCUCCUGCCGUUUGAAGACCGUACUGUACCUACAUUGGACGACGUUGCAAGGGACAUUAUCCCUUCAUAACUUCACCCAGAGCCUUUGGCCAGUGGGGGAUAAUGUUGAAAACUUGAGGGGGGAGUGCGCAUUGGUUUCCAGUGGAGAAGGCUCUGAGGACGAUGAGGAGUCGGGCGACAGUGACGACGAGGGAGCCGGUGAGGAGACUGGAGGUGAUAAGAGUGGAGACGGCAAUGGAGAGGCCUCGAACGAGAGGGACAGUGGGGACAGUGAGGAUGAGCAUACUCGUACACCGCAGACUGGGACAUAUUCCCCUCUCCCCAUGCACAGACGUACUUCUCCCAGUCAUACACCCUCCACAUCUUAUGUACGACAAGGUCAAACCUCUGGACCGAGCCUCACGAGAGCUGAGGUGGAGGAACUAUUGUUGGAUCAAAGAACGCUCAUCGAAAUUCGCCUCCGCACAAUCAAGCUUGAGGUCAUACAGCACGUGACCGACGAAUUUGUGAAGGUCAGGGACUUCAUUUCUACCCUCGUCCUCCCAUCUCUCUGUAGAAGUACUCCACCUAUGGCUCAGGCGACCAAAGAACCCACAAUUUUAGGUAGUUUAUUGCAUGGUAUGUGUAUUACAUUUAAUUUUUGAUCUACUAUAUGUUGCUUAUGUUUGCUGACAUUGAGUAAACGUGAGAUUUGUGACUUAGACGGAAAUGGAGGCGAGACCGACCCUGUCCCGAAAUGUGCGAAACCGCAAGGUAUGUGCAUCAAUUACGAUGGAUUCAUUUUCAUGUCAUCUUUAAUAUUUGAUACUACCAAAUACGUAACCCCCUUACGUCUUUGCAAAUGUUAUUUUGUAGUACAUGGAAGAGGCUUCUCCCCAUUGCCGGUCGAUCAUGACGAAGAUAUGGACAAGGAAAUGCAAUAGCGAAACGGUACGUGUGUUAAGUAACGCAUAAUAAUUGCUUUCGUAGUUAGGUGUCACCUCAUUCCGAAGUGUGUAUACUAUAAAUCAUGAAUGACACACAGUUUCUAAUAUUGGGUAUGUUGGUACUCAUGCAUAGGUAAAGCCGGCAUGAAAUCCGAACCAGCAAUGAUCGGUGACGAUGAUGAAGUAGCUUAUGGUGGUUCCGAGAAACGUGAGGACGAUCGUGUUGCAUCUUCUACUGGCGUAGCGGAGGUGGAGAGUAAGUACACUACGACGGAAUACUUUUAUUUCACUGCGUACAGUAACGCGUAAUAUUUGGAUAAUUUACUUAUGUAUGACCUCAUGCACAAGUACGUAUACUCGACUGUUUGAGGUAUACAGUGUUACUAAUAUUUCGUCGCUUGUUAAUUUGAUACUAGGUGGAUGUGGCAUGGAUUUCGAACCAGAAAAGAACAGUGACGAUGACGAAGUACCUUCGGGUGGUUCGGAGAACCGUCAGGACAAACCUAUUGCGUCCGCUAGUGGCGUAGCGGAGGUGGAUGGUAAGUAGAUUGCGGUGAAGAACUCAUGAUGUCACGCUAACCCAAAUUCGUGAUGCAAAUGGAUGAAGUGUUAAUUAUUGUGGAAUUGUUUUGUAGGCGGUGCGACGAACAUGCCGGGGACGGCCAGCAUACCCGUGCAAUGCAAUGACCCACCCACCACGAAGAGGCCAUGAUCAACACGCGUCCAACAUCCUGCUGUAUCUACAAGGACUCCGUACACUAGGGGGAGGGCGAAGAGAGUGAAGAAAUAAGGUUUUGUUGGCAAAAAAUUUACAUGAUUGCAAGUUUGUGUGGACGUCGUGUAUGUGGAAUCCAAAUUCUGCCAGGGGCCAAUUUUUGCUAGGUAAGCUCGAUCGACGGUGUUACGUUCAUGUCAGAUGCAGUAUUGAAGUGGUAGUCAUAUGUUUAUGUUAUUCUAAAAGAGCAUGUUGAAUAGUAUACGAAUAUUCUCCGAAAUGUUCAUAUCACAUGCAAUUCAAAGAUAUUAUUGUCGGAUUUUUGCACGUGUACUUGAAUAUUUAUCAUACCGUACAUCGUCAAUCAUUAUUCAUUCUCCGUAAUAUUCGGAUCACAUGCAAUUCCAAGAUAUUAUUGUCGGAGUUACUCAUGUUCACUUCAAUAUCUGUCAUACCGUACAUCGUCAAUCAUUAUUCAUUCUCCAUAAUGUUUGGAUCACAUGCAAUUAAACUAUAGUAUUGUGGCUCUGCAUUAUGUAUGUAAGAGCACCGUGGUGUCGUUAUUUGUUUAGUUGACUAUUCUUGUCGAACAUGCUGCAUAUUUGCAUUUACCAAAUUAACUUCCAUGAUAACUAUGAUAUGAUUAUCUCAUUUUUGCUUAUUGCAGUACAGAUGACAGUGCAUGAAGAUGCCUCAACCCCAUCCAUGGUCACUGCAUCGCAACUUGCAGUUCACGUAGGGUGCUUGACAGGGGUCAACGUUGUAUUAACAAAAUUUUUUUAUUGGUUGUGAUGAUUGUUAUUUGAACCGGUCCAAAUUCAGUGAUACUUUUGCUUGCCAAGCUCAUCCAUGUAAUUGUUGUUGGUUACAAUGAUUGUUCUAUAAACCCGGUACGCAGGCGCACAUGGAUCAUCCUCGAUUUUUGUACAUCAUUUGUCAUUGUGUUAUGUCAUAAUUACUUGUACGAAGCUACCAUUUGUUGCUCUUUAUGCAUGUGCGUGUCACUAUAAAUUAUGUAUUCCGAAAUUUCCACUAAGUCGAGAGUAAAAAAAAAAAGUAACAACAUAGCACAAUUCAUUUUACUUGUAUUUAAUGUAAUGUUAUAACAAAUACAUGCAGCAACAUGGAAAAAAUCUUACACAUGAGUGUUAAUUUUAAAAGUUAUUUCACAAUUUCUGGAAGGAGCAGGACAUGCAAAAAUUGAAAAUGGAAAUGAAAAGCGUGUUUAACUCAUUCUAACUCAUUGCCAGAAUAUUUCAAUUUACAUAACUCACAUGGGUACUGAUCUUCCAACCCCAACCACCAUUUAAGGACAUAUCUUAGGGAUUAAAGUAUAAUUAGACCGUCAUCCAUCACACAGUUCUUUAUCAAAUUUUAAUUGGAUGGGGCUUGGUGGUUGGGCACUAAAUGAGUUUCAAUGCAUCUCUCCAAAAACUCUACUAUAUAUAGUAUGAUAAGUCCACAUUAUCAUUGACACCUGAAAUAUUUACACUUGAAAAUUCAUGUUGCAGUCUAUACGUUUAGUACUCCACAGGUUCAGUAAUUAUUUUCAUAUCAACAUAAUGGCGUCGUCGACAGGGAGCAAUGAAUCAUUGAAGCAUGAGGAGCCGCUACCAACACCCGGUUCAUCCCACUAUGUCCCAUCAUCAUUGCUUCGAAAGAUGACGAAGCAAGUUCUGAACGUGGUAUGAGAGCCACAUCCGUUGUUCCUUUUCCGAACCUCGACGAUGUUGCAAGUGAAGCUUCCCAGAGUCCGAAGACCGUGCUUGAUUGGGUCGUCCCACUGAUGGUUUCGGAGGAAGUUGAGUCAGACGAUGACGCGUGGUUCACUCAUGUUCCAUCUCCCGAGAUCAUUGUCAUCAGCUCCGAUGACUCCGAACAAGAUGGUUCGAGUAUGGACAAUCAAUGAAGUGGCUAAUAUGGGUAUGUGGUGCAUAUGAAAUAAUGUAUAGUUCGUAUUUUGUCAGGGAUGGAUCUGGUAACAUAGUUUGGCAAUGGUGACCAAGAGCACCUCCAUUGUCUACGUGCUAUUUUCUUCAUAUUUUGGUAGAUUUUGGUAUUGGAACUACUAUGGACAAGGACAGAAACAAUCUGUCGGGAGCGGCAUGUAUACUGUCGGGAACGACAGAUUAACUGUCGGGAUGUAAGAGCAUAGGUUCAUUUGUGUACGUAUGAAACUUGUGUUCCCCUGUAUGGCUCCCUUGUUUACUGAAAAUUGACGUACCUUGGAAUGAACAAGUGCACUUUAUUGACAACGUAGGUUGGUCGGGGUUAUUUGGUUCGGGCUUAACACAUCAACUUGGAAGCAUCGAAAAAUAAGUUAUUUUUAAAAUUUCUUGUAGGUGGAGUUAGGUAUGUAUAUGUACGUGGUAUCUUAUGAAUCAGUCCGUAAGGAAAAAGUACUCAUCAGGUCAGCCCUAAAUCAUCCUUGAAGCAUACCAUUUUUUUGUUGUUAAAUUAUAAGACGACGUCUGCUGUUAAGAAACGAGAAUGGAAUGUAAACGAAAUGUUAUGCUUCAAAAUAACUGUGUAAGUAGAGAGUGUAAUGGGUAACAGUGUAGUCAUGCAAGCAUAAAUAUUUCGGACUAGUCAAAUUAUAUACUCUGGAACCAUCUGUCGGGACUGACAAUUUAACUGUCGAGAUGUUCUGAAGGGAUAUCAACUACAAUAUCUUGUAACUAGUUGCGAUCAUAAGAAACACUAAUGUCAGCAAACAAACAACAAUGAUAACAAAAUGUGAACAUUUACAUUCUUUCAUUACAAAUGACAUGGGGGUGCCAGUUCACAUACAACUUCAACCACUUUCGAACAAAAGCCUAUUUCUUACAAACGCCUAUUUAAACGGUCCGUGGUACAAUGGGGUUGGAACAUGUGCUCCGAUCAUAACCUAGUCCACCACAGCGAGUGCAUUUCCUUAGUCGUGUGGUGGACUCGAAUCUGGAUCGCUGACGUCUUGUGGGUGGUCUACUUGGAGGACGACAUACAUUGGGUGGCCUAAUAGGAGUACCUGUAAUUUCGUUUGGGACUAUCCAGUCCACUUCACGCAUAACGGGAUAUAUAGCUUCGCUAUAGGCACCUCUCCAAUAUUUCGAUGUGUAAUACGGUGAGCAGAAGUCGUACAAUGACAUACCUCGCAAGCACGCAGCACGAGUGGCAUGAACGCAUGGCAUACAAUUAAUUUAAAACUCACAACAAGUGCAACUGUUAUCAGAGAAGUCGACGAUGUCCGUGUCAUUGGAUAUUCCAACCUGUGUUAAGUGUUCUGUCAAGCCAUGAGUUCGAAGCCUUGUACCUGCUUCAAACGUUGUCCAUAACUUGUUCUCCAUCCUCAACGACAGCAUGGCAGUACAUGUGGUUGCACUGGUUCGACGUUCGUGAAACCACUUCUGCAUAGUUUGUCGAAUAUGUUCGACCAAGCACGUGAUCGGUAAUGAACGGGCAUAUCUCAACAUUGAGUUCAAACAUUCGGCAUUGUUAUUUGUCAAAAUGUUGUACCUUUGAUCAACAAACAGUGCUCGUGACCAAAAGGAAAAACCUGCUCGCUCUAAGUACCUGUACGCUCUUGCACUUACCCUACGGAUAUGUCCCAUAAGUCUUUCAAAUUUUUCGACCCGAUAAGUUCGUGCAGCUCGUUUGAAUAGAAAUAUUACACUUGCAUUGUUGUACCGCUGGACUAAGUUCUUUUCUAGAUGCCAAAUACAGCACCCAUGACGGGACUGAGGAAAUAGGUGAGCAAUGACAUUGGAAAUACUAUUUUUUCGGUCGGAAACAAAAACCAAUUCAGUAGAGUCGCCUAUAAACUCUUUCAAGUUGGACAUAAACCACACCACGAUCUAUUUGUUUCAGUAUCGACAAUCCUCCAUGCCAAGGGAUAUAUUUGUUUGUUGGCAUCUUGGCCGGUUGCCAGCAAAAGUAUACCUUUGUAUGGACUUUUCAAGUGACUACUAUCAACACAAAUAACGAGCCUCAAGUAGCGCAUGUAGCCACGAAUGCUUGCAUCGAAAGCUAGGAAGAAGUAAUGAAACCUGUUACAGGAAUAAACUUCGAUGUGGGUUACUGUCCCCGGGUUACGCUCUCCUAGAAGAGGAAAUACACGAAAAUGGACUUUCGACUGUAGCAAAUUUUCAUAUUGGCCUUUGACCCAUUAAAUGAAUUAAAAAAAAAAGAAAUUAAGUUUAAAAAAAAACUUUACACUAAAAGGGCGAAUUUACCCUACAGCUAGUGACUGUUUAAAUCUCAUUUUCUAACCGACCGACCAAAAAAGAAAAUCGACGCACAGUCGCCUGAAAAUUGUCCGAUCAACCACCGGCCGACUACACCACCAUCGUAGUGAACUAAAUCGACGACCACACAUCUACACCAGAAAGAAUACCGGUUAAUUUUCUCGUACAGAGUUCCAGUUGAAAAUUUAUUGAAUAAUAUUAGAUUUAUUAGAUUUAAUUAGAUGAAUAUUCGGUUUAAUUAGAUCAUGAGCAUGAGUAGUGUUAGAUUGUGGGCAUAUUGUGAUGAAAAAUUUGAUAUUUUUUGUAAUUUUUGGACCUAUGGCGUCGACAAUGACGAGUUCCGGCCAGAAUCGAUAAAGACGGUGAUGUUAACAGUCGGACCGACUGUUAACAGUCAACGGUCGGCCCAUUGACUGUUAACAGUCUAAUUUUUUUUAAAAUAUAUUUAAUUUUUAUUUGUUUUUUAUAAUUUUUGUAAUUAAUUUAAUUUUUUAUUUGAUUAGUAAUUAUGUUAUUUAUUUAUUUAAUUUUUAUAAUUGUCUUUUAUUUAUAUAAUUUAAUAAUUGAAAAUUAUCUUUAAUUAACAAUUUUGUGUUGUUCUUUUUUUUUUUUAUGAAAUAAUCUUUAAUAUUUUUUUUUUAAAAUUUAUUUAAAUAAUAUAAAUAUUCUUUACAUUUUUUUAAAAUGUAUUUAAUUUGAAAUUUUUUGUUUGUAAAUAUAUUUUCCAAAUGAUUACAAGAUUAAUUUUCUUUAUAAUUAAUUUAUUUUAAUUUGAUUGAAUAAUAAUUAUGUUAUUUAUUUAUUUAAUUUUUAUAAUUGCCUUUUUUUAUAUAAUUUAAUAAUUGAAUAGAUAAUGUUGUCCGAAAUUAACAAUUCUUUUUUUUCCUUUUAUUGUUCUUUUACCUUUGAUUUUAUUUCGAAUUUAUUUAAAUAAUAUUUAUAUUCUUUAAUUUUUUUGAAAAUGUAUUUAAUUUGAUUUUUUUUAAAAUAUAUUUUCCAAAUAUAAUAUUUGUGAUUAAUUUUCUUUAUUACUAAUUUAUUUUAAUGCGUAUUGUAUGGUAGUUAGAAUUCGGUUCUCUUAAUUUUGUGAGAUUAUGCUUUCUUUUGUUAUCUGUUGUUCAAUGCUCUAAUAUUUGAAUUUUUGUAGGAUGGAGUAUCAUUUAGAUGGGGAGUUGAGACGAAUGCCGGGAAUGCUACUUGGAACAGUAGCUUUGAGAGUUUUACUGUUGUGUUGGAGCUGCUCGAUGAUCAGCACAGAGAUAUGCUAUGACAGUCCUUCUUAUGGCCACUGUACAAGUUGCAAGAGGUGUAGUACUCAGGACAGAUCAUCGAUGCACUUCUAUGUUGGCUUCUGAGGCCAGUCGACGGUGAUUCCCUCCAGUUCGACCUCGGGGGCAAGGUCGUCAGUUUUUCGACAUUUGAGUUUACAUUGAUAACUGAACUAAGGAUUACGAGCGACAAUACAACCAUUGAGAGAAGCAAUAGGCUGUACGAGACGUACCAAGGACAUGGGUCGGUACUUCUACCCGACUUGAUGGCCGCGAUCAGGGAGUACGACCAGAUGCUAGAUAG